CUUUAGAGUAUACCUCAGACUGGCGUGGUUAGUUCUUAUCUACUCUUUGUUGAAGCUAAGAAGUUCUUGAAGGUAAAUCUGCUUAGAGUCUGCUGCUCAACCUGAGUGCUUAGUAGAUAAAAUGUCCUUAAAUGGAGCUAAGCUGCACCCAAGGUAACCUUGCUUCUAGCUGCCAACAGACAUGGCAGCUCUGUCCAUGGUUCAGGCAGAAGGCAGUGUUCUUGGAUCAUGUUCUUCAAGGUCAUGUUUCUGUCUGGGGAGAUGAUGCAGUCUGGGAUCUAGUCAUAAAUUUAUCUGGAGCCACGUGGGUGUGGCUCACCAACAGGACCUAAGUAUUCCUUCCUUGUGAUGAAGGAAGCCGCACACAUCUGGAUUACAUUGUAGGCUCACGAACAAAAAACUGGUCCUGGGUUGAGCAGGUCACCUCAGAGUUCUAAAUCUCCACUGUAUUUUUAAGACUGAAGUUCUUUAUCUCAGAGGGGGGAAGAGCGCUUGCUUAGCAUUCCUGAGGCCUCAAGUCCAUCCUCUGCCUCACUUGGGGCAGGGUCACUGUUUACAUCACUACCGUGACAUUGUGUUGUUUUCAUAGCAAAGAAUACUCUAAAAUAGAUUGGGUGAGGCAUGAUGGCACACCUAUGUUCUAAGCACUCAGGAGCCUUGAGGCAGGAGGAUCAAAUUGAAGGCCAGGCUGGGCUGUGUGGAGAGAACCUGUCUCAGAGCCAGUGCUCAGAUUGGGCAGCAUCAGAGGUAGUGAUGAUGCUGCAACAUUUUCAGACCAGGUCUGCAUUUUGGCUGACAGACUAGGGUGAGUACUGGUGUUCUCACUCUCUCUAUAAGGUACUAAUACAAAAUCACACACAAGUGUCCAUGAACUGUGUCUUUUCCAAGGCUUUGUUUCACAUUUGUAUUUUGAUACGACAUGGAUGUGAGCAUCGCAGUUGUUUAAACAGAUGUCUGCUGCGCUUAGUGGUUGAACCUCUGUCUGCCUGAUGUCUGUGUAAAGUCUGUGCUUGGCUUUGAAUUGUAUGUUUACAUCUUACUGUUUUUAAAUAAAGAGAAAAUUUUAUGGUUAUGC
rnacentral:lncRNA from 1 species